GCCUGGUCCGAUGAUAGUAUGUUAUCAGAACUCAUUAACAUUAAUGUCACUAAAGUUGGUAUAUAAUCCCCCGCUGCUAAAUGUGACUGACUUAA
ensembl:misc_RNA Y_RNA Y RNA